UCCAAGGUCGAGGAACGGAAGGAUUUCAACUGGGCCGACCUGGUCAUAAGCUGGCCUGUAGCUGAUGCUGAGCA